AGCUCUCAGCCUGGUUCUCAUGUUGACCCUGGAAGGUUCACCCACCUCUGUUGGGUGGAGAUGGCGUCCUGGGAGCCUAGAAGACUGUCCAGGCACAGAGCAAGGGCAGCUGUCUUUCCAGAGCAGGGCUGGAAUGUAGAAGUGGACUUUUGGCCACGUGGAUGAGGAAUUGAAGCAGUCAGUUCUGAUCUAGAGAUGGAAGGCGCCUGCUGAGGACAGCAGGGCUGCUUGGCACCCUGGGUCCCUGAAUGGCUCUGUGGAGCACUGCCUGAUGGCCCACCCUGGACUGUUGCCUGAGACAGAAAUAAACUUUUAUCUUGUUUCAA
ensembl:lncRNA novel transcript